AGUGAACGCUGGCGGUAGGCCUAACACAUGCAAGUCGAACGGCAGCACAGUAAGAGCUUGCUCUUACGGGUGGCGAGUGGCGGACGGGUGAGGAAUACAUCGGAAUCUACUUUUUCGUGGGGGAUAACGUAGGGAAACUUACGCUAAUACCGCAUACGACCUACGGGUGAAAGCAGGGGAUCUUCGGACCUUGCGCGAUUGAAUGAGCCGAUGUCGGAUUAGCUAGUUGGCGGGGUAAAGGCCCACCAAGGCGACGAUCCGUAGCUGGUCUGAGAGGAUGAUCAGCCACACUGGAACUGAGACACGGUCCAGACUCCUACGGGAGGCAGCAGUGGGGAAUAUUGGACAAUGGGCGCAAGCCUGAUCCAGCCAUACCGCGUGGGUGAAGAAGGCCUUCGGGUUGUAAAGCCCUUUUGUUGGGAAAGAAAAGCAGCAGGUUAAUACCCCGCUGUUCGGACGGUACCCAAAGAAUAAGCACCGGCUAACUUCGG
rnacentral:rRNA from 1 species